AACGAACGCUGGCAGCAGGCUUAACACAUGCAAGUCGAACGCCCCGCAAGGGGAGUGGCAGACGGGUGAGUAACGCGUGGGAAUCUACCCAGUUCUACGGAACAACCGAGGGAAACUUCAGCUAAUACCGUAUACGCCCUACGGGGGAAAGAUUUAUCGGAAUUGGAUGAGCCCGCGUUAGAUUAGCUAGUUGGUGGGGUAAUGGCCUACCAAGGCGACGAUCUAUAGCUGGUCUGAGAGGAUGAUCAGCCACACUGGGACUGAGACACGGCCCAGACUCCUACGGGAGGCAGCAGUGGGGAAUAUUGGACAAUGGGCGCAAGCCUGAUCCAGCCAUGCCGCGUGAGUGAUGAAGGCCUUAGGGUUGUAAAGCUCUUUCAGUGGGGACGAUAAUGACGGUACCCACAGAAGAAGCCCCGGCUAACUUCGUGCCAGCCGCCGCAGUAAUAC
rnacentral:rRNA from 1 species